AUACGGAGGGUGCAAGCGUUACUCGGAAUCACUGGGCGUAAAGCGCGCGCAGGCGGGCUGAUAAGUUGGAUGUGAAAGCCUACGGCUCAACCGUAGAACUGCAUCCAAAACUGUCAGUCUAGAGUCUGGGAGGGGAAGAUGGAAUUAGUUGUGUAGGGGUAAAAUCCGUAGAGAUAACUAGGAAUACCAAGAGCGAAGGCGAUCUUCUGGAACAGUACUGACGCUGAGGCGCGAAAGCGUGGGGAGCAAACAGGAUUAGAAACCCUAGUAGUCC
rnacentral:rRNA from 1 species